rnacentral:rRNA from 1 species
AUUGAACGCUGGCGGCAGGCCUAACACAUGCAAGUCGAACGAGUGGCGGACGGGUGAGUAAGUUCUGGGAAACUGCCUGAUGGAGGGGGAUAACUACUGGAAACGGUAGCUAAUACCGCAUACCAUCGGAUGUGCCCACAUGGGAUUAGCUAGUAGGUGAGGGAAAGGGUCACCUAGGCAACGAUGCCUAGCUGGUCUGCGAGGAUGACCAGCCACACUGGAACUGAGACACGGUCCAGACUACUACGAGAGGCAGCAGUGGGGAAUAUUGCGCAAUGGGCGAAAGCCUGAUGCAGCCAUGCCGCGUGAAUGAAGAAGGCCUUCGGUUUGUAAAGUACUUUCAGCGGGGAGGCGUUACCCACAGAAGAAGCCACGGCUAACUCCGUGCCAGCAGCCGCGGUAAUAC